AUUGAACGCUGGCGGCAGGCCUAACACAUGCAAGUCGAACGCGUGGCGGACGGGUGAGUCAUGUCUGGGAAACUGCCCGAUGGAGGGGGAUAACUACUGGAAACGGUAGCUAAUACCGCAAACCAUCGGAUGUGCCCAGAUGGGAUUAGCUCGGAGGUGGGGUAAAGGCUCACCUAGGGGACGAUCCCUAGCUGGUCUGAGAGGAUGACCAGCCACACGUGAACUGCGACACGGUCCAGAUUCCUACGGGAGGCAUCAGUGGGGAAUAUUGCAAAAUGGGGGCAAGCCUGAUGCAGCCAUGCCGCGUGUAUGAAGAAGGCCUUCGGGUUGUAAAGUACUUUCAGCGGGGAGGCGUUACCCGAAGAAGAAGCACCGGCUAACUCCGUGCCAGCAGCCGCGGUAAUUC
rnacentral:rRNA from 1 species